rnacentral:rRNA from 1 species
GCAUAUCAAUAAGCGGAGGAAAAGAAACCAACAGGGAUUGCCCCAGUAACGGCGAAGUGAAGCGGCAAGAAGCUCAAAUUUGAAAUCUGGCCCCUCCGGGGUCCGAGUUGUAAUUUGCAGAGGAUGCUUCGGGUGCGGUCCCCAUCUAAGUGCCCUGGAACGGGCCGUCAUAGAGGGUGAGAAUCCCGUCUGGGAUGGGCGGCCGUGCCCGUGUGAAGCUCCUUCGACGAGUCGAGUUGUUUGGGAAUGCAGCUCUAAAUGGGUGGUAAAUUUCAUCUAAAGCUAAAUAUUGGCCGGAGACCGAUAGCGCACAAGUAGAGUGAUCGAAAGAUGAAAAGCACUUUGAAAAGAGAGUUAAACAGCACGUGAAAUUGUUGAAAGGGAAGCGCUUGCGACCAGACUCGCCCGCGGGGGUUCAGCCGGUACUCGUACCGGUGUACUCCCCCGGGGGCGGGCCAGCGUCGGUUUGGGCGGCCGGUCAAAGGCCCCCGGAAUGUGUCGCCUCUCGGGGCGUCUUAUAGCCGGGGGUGCAAUGCGGCCAGCCUGGACCGAGGAACGCGCUUCGGCACGGACGCUGGCGUAAUGGUCGUAAGCGGCCCGUCUUGAAACACGGACCAAGGAGUCUAACAUCUACGCGAGUGUUCGGGUGUCAAACCCGUCCGCGCAGUGAAAGCGAACGGAGGUGGGAACCCCCCCGGGGGUGCACCAUCGACCGAUCCUGAUGUCUUCGGAUGGAUUUGAGUAAGAGCGUAGCUGUUGGGACCCGAAAGAUGGUGAACUAUGCCUGAAUAGGGCGAAGCCAGAGGAAAACUCUGGUGGAGGCUCGCAGCGGUUCUGACGUGCAAAUCGAUCGUCGAAAUUUGGGUAUAGGGGGCGAAAGACUAAUCGAACCAUCUGGUAGCUGGUUCCUGCCGAA